AGCAGCCGCGGUAAUUCCAGCUCCAAUAGCGUAUAUUAAAGUUGUUGCAGUUAAAAAGCUCGUAGUUGAAUUUCGGGGUUUAUCCGUUGGUCGGGCUUUUGGGUCUGUACUGGCGUGAUGGAUUCCUACCUUCUGAAUAACCAGCAUGUCAUUAAUUUGGUGCGUUGGGGAAGCAGGACUGUUACCUUGAAAAAAUUAGAGUGCUUAAAGCAGGCCAUUGCCUGAAUACAUUAGCAUGGAAUAAUGAAAUAGGACGCAUGAUUCUAUUUUGUUGGUUUCUAGGAUCACCGUAAUGAUUAAUAGGGAUAGUUGGGGGCAUUAGUAUUCAAUUGUCAGAGGUGAAAUUCUUGGAUUUAUUGAAGACUAACUUCUGCGAAAGCAUUUGCCAAGGAUGUUUUCAUUAAUCAAGAACGAAAGUUAGGGGAUCGAAGACGAUCAGAUACCGUCGUA
rnacentral:rRNA from 1 species